GGAAAGGUGAAAAGCACCCCGGGAGGGGAGUGAAAUAGAACCUGAAACCGUGUGCCUACAACAAGUUCGAGCCCGUUAAUGGGUGAGAGCGUGCCUUUUGUAGAAUGAACCGGCGAGUUACGUUAUGAUGCGAGGUUAAGUUGAAGAGACGGAGCCGUAGGGAAACCGAGUCUGAAUAGGGCGCUUUAGUAUCAUGACGUAGACCCGAAACCAUGUGACCUACCCAUGAGCAGGUUGAAGGUGCGGUAAAACGCACUGGAGGACCGAACCAGGGCACGUUGAAAAGUGCUUGGAUGACUUGUGGGUAGCGGAGAAAUUCCAAACGAACUUGGAGAUAGCUGGUUCUCUCCGAAAUAGCUUUAGGGCUAGCGUCGACAUAAAGAUUCUUGGAGGUAGAGCACUGUUUGGGUGAGGGGUCCAUCCCGGAUUACCAAUCUCAGAUAAACUCCGAAUGCCAAUGAAUUAUGGUCGGCAGUCAGACUGCGAGUGCUAAGAUCCGUAGUCGAAAGGGAAACAGCCCAGACCACCAGCUAAGGUCCCAAAAUAAUUGUUAAGUGGAAAAGGAUGUGGGGUUGCACAGACAACUAGGAUGUUAGCUUAGAAGCAGCUAUUCAUUCAAAGAGUGCGUAAUAGCUCACUAGUCGAGUGACCCUGCGCCGAAAAUGUACCGGGGCUAAAACAAUUUACCGAAGCUGUGGAUCCCUUAGGGGAUGGUAGGAGAGCGUUCUAUGUGUGGAGAAGGUGUACCGUGAGGAGCGCUGGAACGCAUAGAAGUGAGAAUGCCGGUAUGAGUAGCGAAAGACAGGUGAGAAUCCUGUCCACCGUAAGACUAAGGUUUCCAGGGGAAGGCUCGUCCGCCCUGGGUUAGUCGGGACCUAAGGAGAGACCGAAGGGUGUAUCCGAUGGCCAACAGGUUGAUAUUCCUGUACUAGAGUAUGAAGUGAUGGAGGGACGCAGUAGGCUAACUAAAGCAGACGAUUGGAAGAGUCUGUCUAAGCAGUGAGGCGUGGUAUGAGUCAAAUGCUUAUACCUAUAACGUUGAGCUGUGAUGGGGAGCGAAGUUUAGUAGCGAAGUUAGUGAUGUCACACUGCCAAGAAAAGCUUCUAGCGAUGUAUCAUACUCUACCCGUACCGCAAACCGACACAGGUAGUCGAGGCGAGUAGCCUCAGGUGAGCGAGAGAACUCUCGUUAAGGAACUCGGCAAAAUGACCCCGUAACUUCGGGAGAAGGGGUGCUGAUUUAGGUCAGCCGCAGUGAAUAGGCCCAAGCAACUGUUUAUCAAAAACACAGCUCUCUGCUAAAUCGUAAGAUGAUGUAUAGGGGGUGACGCCUGCCCGGUGCUGGAAGGUUAAGAGGAGUGCUUAGCGGUAACGCGAAGGUAUGAAUUGAAGCCCCAGUAAACGGCGGCCGUAACUAUAACGGUCCUAAGGUAGCGAAAUUCCUUGUCGGGUAAGUUCCGACCCGCACGAAAGGCGUAAUGAUUUGGGCACUGUCUCAACGAGAGACUCGGUGAAAUUUUAGUACCUGUGAAGAUGCAGGUUACCCGCGACAGGACGGAAAGACCCCAUGGAGCUUUACUGCAGUUUGAUAUUGAGUGUCUGUGCCACAUGUACAGGAUAGGUAGGAGCCUAUGAGAUCGGGACGCCAGUUUCGAUGGAGGCGCUGUUGGGAUACUACCCUUGUGUUAUGGCCACUCUAACCCGGAUAGGUGAUCCCUAUCGGAGACAGUGUCUGACGGGCAGUUUGACUGGGGCGGUCGCCUCCUAAAAGGUAACGGAGGCGCCCAAAGGUUCCCUCAGACUGGUUGGAAAUCAGUCGCAGAGUGUAAAGGUAUAAGGGAGCUUGACUGCGAGAGCUACAACUCGAGCAGGGACGAAAGUCGGGCUUAGUGAUCCGGUGGUUCCGCAUGGAAGGGCCAUCGCUCAACGGAUAAAAGCUACCCCGGGGAUAACAGGCUUAUCUCCCCCAAGAGUUCACAUCGACGGGGAGGUUUGGCACCUCGAUGUCGGCUCAUCGCAUCCUGGGGCUGUAGUCGGUCCCAAGGGUUGGGCUGUUCGCCCAUUAAAGCGGCACGCGAGCUGGGUUCAGAACGUCGUGAGACAGUUCGGUCCCUAUCCGUCGCGGGCGUAGGAAAUUUGAGAGGAUCUGCUCCUAGUACGAGAGGACCAGAGUGGACUUACCGCUGGUGUACCAGUUGUCUUGCCAAAGGCAUCGCUGGGUAGCUAUGUAGGGAAGGGAUAAACGCUGAAAGCAUCUAAGUGUGAAACCCACCUCAAGAUGAGAUUUCCCAUAACGCAAGUUAGUAAGAGCCCUGAGAGAAGAUCAGGUUGAUAGGUUAGGAGUGGAAGUGUGGUGACACAUGGAGCGGACUAAUACUAAUAGCUCGAGGACUUAUCCAA
rnacentral:rRNA from 1 species